ensembl:lincRNA
GUAACGUGUAAACCUGCACAACAAACCUGAAAUGAUGUCUCUUUUUUCUCGCAAGACCAAGUCUGAAGUUGAAGUGCAGUAUUAUGUGCACGGGAUGUCAUUUGGAGCAGAAAAUGGAUUUUUGAAGAAGCUCAGAUCAUGUUUGGAAAAACAAUCCGUGGAUCUGAAAUUGACAGAAUACCUCUCCACUCGUGGUUCCAUACCUGUCCUCCUUUUCUGUGUCAAUGCCACACACGUGGCCAAUGAAGCCAGAAAAGCUCUUGCACAAAUCGGUGGAAGACCUGCAUUCCUGAUUGUGAUGAAUCACUUUCCAAAGCAUUCACGCAGAAAGGAUCCUCAUAGUGCCUCACAUGUCCAAGCACAGAAUAUCUGUGCAGUGCUGGAUUGCUUCUUCUCCGAGUCAGAUGGCAUGUAUGAUUGUGUGGAGAAUACGGAGGUCGUGAAAAAAGUGGCAAAUCAACUUGUACCAAUGGCAAGUUUUACUCAACAACAUGAUAACAGUCCAUGGCAACACUUAACAAGUACUGGGAGUUCGCAGCAUGAUCAAGAAUGGAACAGAUUCGACGUUGAAAUCAAUUUUAAUGCUGAUCCAGGUUCUAGCAACAUGAAUUCUUCAAAAACACAUCGUUCAUCUAAUGAAGAAAAUACAAGAUCAAAAGCUCAGAAAACUCAACAAUCAGUUUUCUUGCAGUAUGAGACAUAUGGAAAUUCAAAGGGAGCAGAACAAGGUUUUUUGAAGAAGUUGAAAUGCUAUUUCCACAAGAUAAAUGUGGAUCUGCGUAUCGAGCCGUAUACAAGAACAACCCCCAUUUCUGACACCAAACCUCUCGUCCUUUUCUGUGUUAACUCUUCUCGUGUGGGCACUGAUGCUCAAGCUGCAUUACAACGCAUUGCAAGUGACGAACCUGUAAUAUUGAUUGUGUUGAAUCACUUUCAAAAGAAAGCAAACCUGGCAAAUCCUCACAGCGCCACACACGUUCAACAAAGUAAUGUCCGUGCAGUGGUGGAUUGCUUCUUCUUCGAGUCAGACGGCGUAUACGACUGUGACCAGAAUGAGGAGGCUGUGAUGCGAGUUGGAAAUGAAAUUAUAUCAAGGCUAAGUACUCUUGGACAUCGUGAUGACAUUCAAACAGUGUCAUCCAUGUCCAGCUCAGAUGGUUCGGCUGACCCUCAGCCUGAUAUUUCCCAAUUUAAUCAGCGAUUCCUCGAAAAUGAUAAUCUUCAAGUUAUUUUGCAGUAUCAAAAACCAACAGCAAAUGAAGACCUUUUAAAGAAACUGGAAUCAGAUCUACAGAAGCAGUGUCAUCAGAUUUUUCAGAACACAACAAAAUCCAUCUCAUCCAACAUUGAACAGAGUCUUUCACACUUUCAUUACUUUUCCACCAGGACUGAUGCCCUUCAUAUUAUUCGACACAUUGAAGCCCGGUCCCUCAUUGAGGUUUCCAUCAAACGCAAGCCAAGGGGACCAGAUUUAUUUGAUCCUGAGAAAGUUCAACAGACAGGCCAUGCAGUGGUGGACAUCUUCUUGUUUCAAACAAAUGCAAGUUACAACAGUGAGGAGAAUCAGGAGGGUUUGAGACUCAUGAAAGAGAAAAUAACUUCAAUAAACAACACUGGAGGAACAAUUCAAACUGAUGAUCCAAUGUGUGGUGUCCCAUCUGAGUCUGAAGGUUCUGCGAUGUGUUCUGAUCACGAGAAACUUCAAACGACUUCUUUAACUCCCCCAGAUUAUCAUUAUUACACAUAUCGCGACCAAGACAAAAUAGCAGAAAUCUUUCUUGAAACACUGGAAGAGACAUUGAAGAAAAGUUCCACUGUUUUAAAAUCUGAAAAGUUGAAAAAACCACCAAAUGAAUGUGCAUCCACAACAAGGCCUACCUUGCUGUUUUGUCGAAACAAAGAUAUUGAAUCUGAAACUUUCCCAUCAGAUGAAGGCACUAUAGUGAUCAUAACGGAUGACAAGGAGCAGGCAGACGACCAGAUGCCAGUUUCUGUAAGGUACAUUAGGAAUCGCACAGCCCGAUUAGUGGUUCAUUACUCUUUGUCAGAAUCAAAUCGAACCAUGAACAUGAACAUGAACAUUGUGGAAACCGUGGCCGCAACUUUACGAAGUAUCACUGACAAACAUUCUUCUCAGCUGAGCAAAUGAGUGUUGCAACAGAAGAAAGCAAGGUGGACAUUUCAAAUGCUCCAUCAGCUUCUCUUGUCAUGGAUUAUUUGAGAUGGCAGGAAUUAUGUGAGGGUGAAAUUUAUGAACUGGCUUCGAUAAUGAAUUAUAUAAGAACCAAUCUUGCUUUAGACCUGAAACUUGUUUUCAUCAGAGUCUUUCUAUCGUCAAACCUGACUUUGUAGAUUGGAACCAGGGAUGUUUGCUUUGUAUAACAGUGAUUCUGUACAAUGUAUGUCAAUGAACAUUCAGUAGUUGUUAUGGAAGGAAGGUGACUCGUUUUUCUUAUCCUCAACCCCUCAAUGACCCUUCAUUCAUGAAUCAUCUCUCGUUACCCUUGAUCCCUCAUCAUUGAUGCAAUCCCCUUUUGAUUCUUCAUUUCUAAUCUGACUGAGCCCCUUCAAACUUUCAGACAACUCAACAAUAAUUACGAUUCCCCUCUCCAUCCUCGCAUUGCUCUUGCACACACGAAGGGCUAAUGCGGGAAACGUCGGCUUUACUUUGCUCCCUUGACUUUUAGCACACCUUUAUCAACAUUUCAUUGAUAAACCGAUAAUUGGAAUUGUCCAAUCACACUAACCAACACUAGCCUUGAGAAAGUAUAGUAAUAUUGUGUUGUAGGAGUUUUAUAAAGGGUAGUUUAAUGUCGAAAAGAUGACCUACUCCAAACUUCUACCAAUUCAGAUUUUUACUCUUUCUCUCCAAAUGAGUUGAUAGUUUAAUGAUCAAAAAGGUUCCUCCUCCUCUUCCUCCUCCUCCUGAGUCCAGGUGACCCCAUACCCACAACAACUGGGAUAAUUUAAUAGUGGUUGAUUUAGAAAGGCCAAUUUUCAAACUUCUUUGUAACAUUAUUGAACUUUGUGCAUUUGCCGAAUAAUUUAAUAAUUUGAUUUAUUUUUCUCUAAAUCUACACCUGCUUGUUUGAAAGACAGACUGCUUUUUCGUUGCUUGCUAUUAACCAUUGCAAAUGAUUUAUUAAAGAUAAACAUGGCACUUUUACAGCUUUCAGUUGAUCAUAUAGAAAAGUUAGAGACUUAUGUAUUGGGAUUUGGUAUUUGCUUAUGAAUGGAGAGUUUACAGAAUUGUACCCAGCACAUGGGCAAGAAAGGGACUGGCAGAGAUGCGUGGGGACUGGUAAUGCUUCUUUUCCUCUUCUUCUUCAUAUUACACUGGAAUUUGUUUGCUGUGUUGCCUCUCCAGUAAAAAAAAACAUUUUGGUGAAGAGUUUUUCAACAAACUGUCAUCUGUGGGAUAUUUGCCAGCAUUGCUGUAUGGACUAUCAGUUAAAGUGAGAAUUUGAAUCAUUGACUGACUAUUUUGUGAUUAUAGAUAUUUAUCUCUCUGUAUGCAUUAAAAUUUAAAUGGCAUUUUGAAGGAAGUUAUAGGGGAUAGAUUAUUGUUUGGCCUGCAUCUGAAAAUGACCAAGACUCACAGGGAUUUGUUGUCUGUUUGAAACUUGACAUUUGAGACGAAGACAGACUGCAUUGUUGAAGAAAUGACCUAAAAAGGAAAUAAAGAACUGGACUAUUUGGCAGUAGAAGUCGUCAUAAAUAGAUUUCUGGGGGCCGAGAGGUGGGGUUGACGGGAGAGCGGUUGCAAGAAGUCAGGUGAGU